rnacentral:misc_RNA from 1 species
UCGUGAGCCGAAUUGUCGGGG